GCUGGGUGCAGUGGUGCACACCUGUAAUCCCAGUGUCUUGGGAAGCUGAGGCAGGAGGAUCGCAAGUUCAAGGCCAGCCUCAGUAACUUAGCUAGGCCUAAGCAACUUAGCAAGACCCUGUCUCUA
rnacentral:sRNA from 1 species